UACAGAGGUCUCAAGCGUUGUUCGGAUUCAUUGGGCGUAAAGGGUGCGUAGGCGGCGCGGUAAGUCGGGUGUGAAAUCUCGGGGCUUAACUCCGAAACUGCAUUCGAUACUGCCGUGCUUGAGGACUGGAGAGGAGACUGGAAUUUACGGUGUAGCGGUGAAAUGCGUAGAUAUCGUAAGGAAGACCAGUGGCGAAGGCGGGUCUCUGGACAGUUCCUGACGCUGAGGCACGAAGGUCAAGGGAGCAAACGGG
rnacentral:rRNA from 1 species